GACGUAACAAGUUUCACUAUAUUAAGGAUGUGUUUAUGCAUAUUUAUAACCCAGGGCGGGACUUCAAGUCGAGCUGGUUUUGGAGGCGGCAAGUGAGCAAUGACCAGACAAUCAUGAAGCCAUGAGAUGAUGGCUUGUGCUCUGGGAGAUGAGGGACUCUGGGGAGGAUGAAGUGACACUGAGACAAGUUGCACAAAGACAAACAAAUGGCA